UACGAAGGGGGCUAGCGUUGCUCGGAAUCACUGGGCGUAAAGGGUGCGUAGGCGGGUCUUUAAGUCAGGGGUGAAAUCCUGGAGCUCAACUCCAGAACUGCCUUUGAUACUGAGGAUCUUGAGUACGGGAGAGGUGAGUGGAACUGCGAGUGUAGAGGUGAAAUCCGUAGAUAUUCGCAAGAACACCAGUGGCGAAGGCGGCUCACUGGCCCGUUACUGACGCUGAGGCACGAAAGCGUGGGGAGCAAACAGG
rnacentral:rRNA from 1 species